GAUGAACGCUGGCGGCGUGCCUAAUACAUGCAAGUCGAGCGAACGGACGAGAAGCUUGCUUCUCUGAUGUUAGCGGCGGACGGGUGAGUACUCGUGGAUAACCCACCUACAAGACUGGGAUAAAUUCGGGAAACCGGAGCUAAUUCCGGAUAAUAUUUUUAACCGUAUGGUUUAAAAGUUAAAGACGGUUUUUCCUUUCCUUAUAGAAGGAACCCGGCCUGAAUUAGCUAGUUGGUAGGGUAACGGCUUCCCAAGGCAACGAGGCUUAGCCGACCGGAGAGGGUGAUCGGCCACACUAGAACUGAGACACGGUCCAGACUCCUACGGGAGGCAGCAGUAGGGAAUCUUCCGCAAUGGGCGAAAGCCUGACGGAGCAACGCCGCGUGAGUGAUGAAGGUCUUCGGAUCGUAAAACUCUGUUAUUAGGGAAGAACAUAUGUGUAAGUAACUGUGCACAUCUUGACGGUACCUAAUCAGAAAGCCACGGCUAACUACGUG
rnacentral:rRNA from 1 species